AUCCCAUCCCGAACUCAGAAGUGAAACGAUGCAUCGCCGAUGGUAGUGUGGGGUUUCCCCAUGUGAGAGUAGGUCAUUGUCAAGA
rnacentral:rRNA from 1 species